rnacentral:tRNA from 1 species
GCACGUGUAGCUCAAUCGGGAGAGCGCCACCCUGUCAAGGUGGAGGCAGCGGGAUCAAAACCCGCCACGGGCG